rnacentral:rRNA from 1 species
AGCGAACGCUAGCGGCGGGCUUAACACAUGCAAGUCGAGUGCAUCUCCUUCGGGAGGUGAGCGGCGAACGGGUGAGUAACACGUAGGUAACGUACCCUCUGGUGGGGAAUAACCCAGGGAAACUUGGGCUAAUACCGCAUGUGCCCUUCGGGGUGAAAGACUUCGGUUGCCAGAGGAUCGGCCUGCGGCCCAUUAUUUAAUCCUAGUUGGUAGGGUAACGGCCUACCAAGGGUACGAUGGGUAGCUGGUCUGAGAGGAUGAUCAGCCACACUGGGACUGAGACACGGCCCAGACUCCUACGGGAGGCAGCAGUGGGGAAUAUUGGACAAUGGGCGAAAGCCUGAUCCAGCCACGCCGCGUGAGUGAUGAAGGCCUCGGUUGUAAGGACUCUGUCGGGAGGGACGGAAGUAC